rnacentral:misc_RNA from 1 species
GAUGAAGAACGUAGCGAAAUGCGAUAAGUAAUGUUAAUUGCAGAAUUCAGUGAAUCAUCGAAUCUUUGAACGCACAUUGCGCCCCUUGGUAUUCCGGGGGGCAUGCCUGUUCGAGCGUCAUUUCAACCCCUCAAGCUCGGCUUGGUGUUGGGCUGCGCCAGCGUUGCUGGCGGGCCUUAAAAUCAGUGGCGGUGCCGUUUGGGCUCCAAGCGUAGUAGCAUCUCUCGCUCUGGAGACCCGGCGGUUGCUUGCCAGACAAUCACCAAAAAAACAAAGGUUUGACCUCGGAUCAGGUAGGGAUACCCGCUGAACUUAAGCAUAUCAAUAAGCGGAGGA